ACGAUUGACGGAGCGGAGCGACGUCAAAGCGUUUUACAACGUUGAGUUGGCUUAGGGAUACGUUCGUUGGGUAGGGGAGCGUUCUGUAAGCCUGCGAAGGUGUGCUGUGAGGCAUGCUGGAGGUAUCAGAAGUGCGAAUGCUGACAUAAGUAACGAUAAAGCGGGUGAAAAGCCCGCUCGCCGGAAGACCAAGGGUUCCUGUCCAACGUUAAUCGGGGCAGGGUGAGUCGACCCCUAAGGCGAGGCCGAAAGGCGUAGUCGAUGGGAAACGGGUUAAUAUUCCCGUACUUGGUGUUACUGCGAAGGGGGGACGGAGAAGGCUAUGUUGGCCGGGCGACGGUUGUCCCGGUUUAAGCGUGUAGGUGUGUGUUCCAGGUAAAUCCGGUUCACUUUAACACUGAGGCGUGAUGACGAGGCACUACGGUGCUGAAGCAACAAAUGCCCUGCUUCCAGGAAAAGCCUCUAAGCAUCAGGUAACACGA
rnacentral:rRNA from 2 species